rnacentral:rRNA from 1 species
CAGUCGCCGCGGUAAUGCGAAGGGUGCAAGCGUUAAUCGGAAUUACUGGGCGUAAAGCGUGCGUAGGCGGUGAGUUAAGUCUGCUGUGAAAUCCCCGGGCUCAACCUGGGAAUGGCAGUGGAUACUGGCUCGCUAGAGUGUGUCAGAGGAUGGUGGAAUUCCCGGUGUAGCGGUGAAAUGCGUAGAGAUCGGGAGGAACAUCAGUGGCGAAGGCGGCCAUCUGGGACAACACUGACGCUGAGGCACGAAAGCGUGGGGAGCAAACAGGAUUAGAUACCCCGGUAGUCCCUGUCUCUUAUAA